rnacentral:rRNA from 1 species
AUUGAACGCUGGCGGCAGGCCUAACACAUGCAAGUCGAACGGCAGCACAGAAGAGCUUGCUCUUUGGGUGGCGAGUGGCGGACGGGUGAGUAAUGUCUGGGAAACUGCCCGAUGGAGGGGGAUAACUACUGGAAACGGUAGCUAAUACCGCAUAACGUCGCAAGACCAAAGUGGGGGACCCUCGGGCCUCACACCAUCGGAUGUGCCCAGAUGGGAUUAGCUAGUAGGUGGGUAAUGGCUCACCUAGGCGACGAUCCCUAGCUGGUCUGAGAGGAUGACCAGACACACUGGAACUGAGACACGGUCCAGACUCCUACGGGAGGCAGCAGUGGGGAAUAUUGCACAAUGGGCGCAAGCCUGAUGCAGCCAUGCCGCGUGUAUGAAGAAGGCCUUCGGGUUGUAAAGUACUUUCAGCGGGGAGGAAGGCGGUGAGGUUAAUAACCUCGCCGAUUGACGUUACCCGCAGAAGUAGCACCGGCUAACUCCGUGCCAGCAGCCGCCGUAA